CGUCAAAUCAUCAUGCCCCUUAUGUCCUGGGCUACACACGUACUACAAUGGCUGUUAACAAAAGGAAGCGAAGCGGCGACGCGGAGCAAAUCCCCAAAUGCAGCCUCAGUUCAGAUUGCAGGCUGAAACUCGCCUGUAUGAAGUAGGAAUUGCUAGUAAUCGCGAAUCAGCAUGUCGCGGUGAAUACGUUCCCGGGCCUU
rnacentral:rRNA from 1 species